AGCUGCGUUAUCUGAAGUUUUAAAUCUUAAUCCCUUGGCGUGUUCUGUAAUUGCAGUAGCUUGAUUCCGACGCCUGAACACUGUGGUGGCUACAGAUUGACACCAACCCUUUUUGAGUUUUGGCAAGGACAACGGUCUCGACUGCAUGACCGGCUGCAAUACUCGCGGAGAGAAGUAGAUGGGAAUACAGUGUGGCACAUCGAGAGGUUGUCCCCUUGACUGUUAACCUGUCAACAUUUUGGUAAUAGGAGGGUUGAGCUUAUCACCAGCAGUCAAAUCUUCUCCAUUGCUGCAAGACGUCCGAACUGACUCAAGAUGUUAGCGUGGUGAUUAGAUACCAGAACCCAGAAGCUCAGUUCUAUGCUGAUACUCUUUUCACAUGGGUCUUCCACCACAGCGGUGGGUGAACAAGUCAUCAAUCACAGGGUUUCUUUGAGCCCCCAUUCGUUCAUCUCCUAUUAAAUGGCAUCAUCCACCGAUCCAGGUAUUUAAAUCUUGCCAACUGUGGACUUGUUGUGCCGUGCCGUGAUACAC